CAAGCCCUGGAAACGGGGUCUAAUACCGGAUAUGACUGUCCAUCGCAUGGUGGAUGGUGUAAAGCUCCGGCGGUGCAGGAUGAGCCCGCGGCCUAUCAGCUUGUUGGUGAGGUAGUGGCUCACCAAGGCGACGACGGGUAGCCGGCCUGAGAGGGCGACCGGCCACACUGGGACUGAGACACGGCCCAGACUCCUACGGGAGGCAGCAGUGGGGAAUAUUGCACAAUGGGCGAAAGCCUGAUGCAGCGACGCCGCGUGAGGGAUGACGGCCUUCGGGUUGUAAACCUCUUUCAGCAGGGAAGAAGCGAAAGUGACGGUACCUGCAGAAGAAGCGCCGGCUAACUACGUGCCAGCAGCCGCGGUAAUACGUAGGGCGCAAGCGUUGUCCGGAAUUAUUGGGCGUAAAGAGCUCGUAGGCGGCUUGUCACGUCGGUUGUGAAAGCCCGGGGCUUAACCCCGGGUCUGCGGGUCGAUACGGGCAGGCUAGAGUUCGGUAGGGGAGAUCGGAAUUCCUGGU
rnacentral:rRNA from 1 species